rnacentral:tRNA from 1 species
GGUGGCUCAGUGGUAGAGCGCUUGCUUUGCAUGCAUGAGAUCCUAGGUUCGAUUCCUCAGCACCA